UGAUACUUUUCCGAUUUUUCGGAAAAUGGCAGGGGUACACUAUUUUUUUAUACACCACCGGUAAAAAUUUGCUAUGUCAACAUACCCCACUAAGCAAAAAAGGGAAACUAAAAUAAUAAGAGGGAAAUCUAGGCAGCAAUUUUUUUUGGCAUUUAGUGGGUGAAGAUGGCUUGAGCGGAUAAUUCUUGGGGCGUCAAGUUGAGCGGGAAAAUGGGUGAUGGUCUAUAUGGACAUCCUCCAUUUUCUAUCCAUAAUAAUAAAAAAAAAAAAAACAGAAGAGAAGUUCAACUUCAAUUUCGUUACUGAACUUCGGAAUUCCUUAGUCAAAUUUGAUGUGUAGAGAGGAAUUGGAGGAGGAGAUUAGAGGCGCUUGAACUCCGGUAUCGCAGAGAAAAAUUCAUCUGACUGAAUCUAGUAUACUACCUUACGUAGUAGGACGCGAGGCAAGGCUUAUCUGCUCGGGAUAGACAACUUUUUACCCUUGCGCCCUGUGAAAAGGUUGGUGCCCGGAAAAAUACAAGCGUAUAAACGCGUUGCUUCGGGGUGAGUAAAAGGUCCAACUAGCUGUAACCAGAGGAAUUGCAAAAUUAGCUCUCGGUUACCGGACUGAAGUUGUAAAACCUAGCUCUAAACACCAAAGCCCCAAAAGCGCCCUUGCGAGCCUUAGCGAUUUAGGGCAGGGCUCGUUUCGGGGAGAUACUACAGAUGAAGAAGGGGAGACCUGACUUUCACACGCAUGAAAGCGAACUACGCGACGGGAGUAACCAAAUAUAGCAGUGGGCAGUCCCUUAUUUUCCUUAAAAAACAGGAAAAAAGGGACAGUUCGAUACAAUUUCUCGCGCGACAAGGCAACUGAGAAAACCGAAUUCGCCCCAACCUCGAAUUCGGAUUUUCGAAGGACGCGACCCCCAACCUACGGGGGGAGCACAACCAUAGCGGAGUAACGAAGCUACAACUUGUGAGAAACUUGUUUCGAACGCCGGCUGCUAUACCCUUAGAGCAGAGUGAAGCAGAAAUGCCCUCACCCGGGGGGCUACAGGGAUAUUAUCAAUUCUAACGGCAUUCUCGUACAUUCACAGUUUUUGAAGCUAUAAAUUCAAUGAAUUCAGAAAAGCUGUUUAGCAAAUCCUUGAAGAAGAGGAGACUUUCCUUAUCGAAGGAGGUAGGAAAGGUACGCCCUAAUCCCAUUUCUAGUAGGAAAUGGUGAUAGAAGUUGAUGCAGGGCUGUUGACAAAUUUAAGCUGACUCUUUAGAGAUAGCUCUUUCCCUUGCAUACUUUACCGAACAAUAUGCUUAAACCAUACUGACUCUUGCUCAAAGUAGUUGGUGAUGCAUCAGUUGAGUAAAGAUCAACAUGCGAGGGUACUUCUUUUAAUGAGAACCUUGUGUAAUUUUUUUUUUUUUGUAGGCUUGAUUUAGUCAAUUGAAAAUUCAUUCCCCUGUCAAAUUUUUUAUGUACUGUAGGUUUGAUUGCCUAGAUACGAUUUCGUCGCCAAAUGUGACUCCCAUCAAUAGUUCAGUUGGGAAUUGGAACAUCAUUCAUUGCAUCUAAUGUUGGAACAUCGUCCAUAUCUAGCUCGGAUCCAGGGACAUCGUCGUAUUUCCUUUCAAGAACAAUUGAGGACCAAAGGAAAGCACUUGUAUUUGUUGCUAGUGAAACUUAUAAACUAGAUGAUUUUGAUACAGACAAUGAAUCAAUGAGCUCAGCAAGUUGUCAGCCGUGGAUAUAAUAAUUUUCUAAGGAAAUUAUUACAAAGAAACUUUGUCCACAAUAUUUGCCUUUCUCUUAUUAAUAUGCAAUUAGAAAUAUGUAAAACCAUAAUUUCCUUUAAAAAGUUUGUAAUCUUGGUGAAAUUUCUUAA